rnacentral:rRNA from 1 species
GGGUCAGUAGGUUGGUCGUGCCACCGGUACGUACUGGUCUCACUGAUUCCUCAUUCCUGAAGAACCGUAAUGCCAUUAAUUUGGUGUUGCGGGGAAACAGGACUGUUACUUUGAAAAAAAUAGAGUGUUUAAAGCAAGCUAACGCUUGAAUACAUUAGCAUGGAAUAAUGAAAUAGGACGAUCGAUCCUAUUUUGUUGGUUUCUAGGAUUGACGUA